rnacentral:rRNA from 1 species
AUGGCGGAGAAUGGGGCGGGCGGCGGCGGAGGGGGGCAGAACCUCGCGGUGCUGGACGCGCUGGACUCGGCGCGCACCCAGAUGUACCACAUGAAGGCCAUCGUCAUCGCCGGCAUGGGCUUCUUCACCGACGCCUACGACCUCUUCUGCAUCACCACCGUCUCCAAGCUGCUCGGCCGCCUCUACUACCCGGACAGCAACGCCGACAUCGGCAAACCCGGCACCAUGCCCGUGCGCAUCAACAACAUGGUCACGGGGGUCGCGCUCGUCGGCACCCUCAUGGGCCAGCUCGUCUUCGGCUACUUCGGGGACAAGCUCGGCCGCAAGCGCGUCUACGGGAUCACGCUCGUCCUCAUGGCCGUCUGCGCCAUCGGCUCCGGCCUCUCCUUCGGGAGCUCCGCCAGCGCCGUCAUCGGCACGCUCUGCUUCUUCCGCUUCUGGCUCGGCUUCGGCAUCGGCGGGGACUACCCGCUCUCCGCCACAAUCAUGUCCGAGUACGCCAACAAGAAGACCCGCGGCGCCUUCAUCGCCGCCGUCUUCGCCAUGCAGGGGGUCGGAAUCAUCUUCGCCGGCCUCGUGUCCAUGAUCGUCUCCGCCAUUUUCCUCCACUACAACCCUGCACCGGCGUGGAAUGUGCACCAUGGCUGGACAGUUGAUCAUCAGAUUGAGCAGUGGCCCGGGGCGGACUACAUGUGGCGCGUCGUGCUCAUGCUCGGGGCAUUCCCCGCGUUGGCCACCUUCUACUGGCGGAUGAAGAUGCCCGAGACCGCCAGGUACACCGCUCUCAUCGAGGGUAACGCCAAGCAGGCUACCAACGACAUGCAGAAAGUGCUGGAGAUCCGCAUCGACGAGGAGCAGGAGAAGCUCUCAAAGUUCAGGGCAGCCAACGAAUACUCUCUGCUGUCCAUGGAGUUCGCGCGGCGUCACGGUUUGCACCUCAUCGGCACCACCACCACGUGGUUCCUCCUCGACAUCGCCUUCUACAGCCAGAACCUCACACAAAAGGACAUCUUCCCAGCCAUCAACCUCACCGGUCCCCCGGGCACCAUGAGUGCCCUCAAAGAGGUGUUCGUGAUAUCACGAGCCAUGUUCCUCAUCGCCCUCUUCGGUACUUUCCCAGGCUACUGGGUCACCGUGGCCCUCAUCGACAAGAUGGGAAGGUACUUGAUCCAGCUCCUUGGUUUCUUCAUGAUGUCCUUGUUCAUGCUAGUGAUGGGCAUCAAAUACGAAUACCUCAAGGACAAGGGCCACGCCCUAUUCGCCAUCCUGUACGCGCUCACAUUCUUCUUCGCAAACUUCGGGCCCAACAGCACCACCUUCGUGCUGCCGGCCGAGCUAUUCCCCACGCGUGUCCGCUCUACAUGCCACGCCAUCAGCGCCGCGUCGGGCAAGGCAGGCGCCAUCGUCGCCGCCUUCGGGGUGCAGACCCUCACCCUCAAGGGCGACCCCAAGCACAUGAAGCAGGCGCUCAUUCUCCUCUCUGUCACCAACAUGUUCGGCUUCUUCUUCACCUUCCUCGUCCCCGAGACGAUGGGCCGAUCGCUCGAAGAGAUCUCCGGCGAGGACGGCAACGUUGCCGGCGCGGCCGCUGGGCAUGUGGACAAGGAUGUCGAGAAGGCCCCUCCUUCAAGCACCGAAUGGCAGCCACCAUCGUCCAUGAAUUAA